rnacentral:lncRNA from 1 species
CCCUCCCUCUCUACCUUAUUGAGCUCCUCUGAAAAUGAAAAUAGAUGCCCUUAUAUAGGGAAUUUAGCCUAAAUUCAUACAGAUUUCUCUUGAAAUUCGUUAUGAAUUUAAGUUGAAUUUCCUCUAUAAGCGCAUCUAUGCUCAUUUCUGAGUAGUUUUUUAUAUAGUUUUUUUUCUUUUCUGCUAUAUUUAUUUUUUUCUUUUUAUUUCUGAGUUGUAAUAAGCCAUUAAAAAUAAGCAUAUAUGCUCCUUUUUUAGUACAGUUAAUCACAAUUAUUUUUUGCUUCUAUUCAUUUCUGAGUAGUUUUCUAUAUAGUUUUUUUUUAUUUUUUGUUAUAUUUAUUCUUUUGUUUUUAUUUCUGAGUUGUAAUAAGUCAUUAAAAAUAAGCAUCUAUGCUACUUUUUUAGUAAAGUUAAUCAAAACUAUUUUUUCUUCUAUUUAUUUCUGAGUGGUUUUUUGUAUAGUUUUUUUUCUUUUCUGCUACAUUUAUUUGUUUCUUUUUAUUUCUGAGUUGUAAUAAGUCAUUAAAAAUAAAAAAGAGGUGCAAUGCUCGUUAAUUUGCUUCAAGCAUGACCAAGCAUAGCACCUGUCGGCCAGGCAUGACUUGACAGCUCCACCGAACCUCCGUGCAAGACGAAGCCGCUCCACCUCCUUCCUCUGACUUCCAGCGCUGCUCCAC